rnacentral:rRNA from 1 species
UACCGCAUGCGCCGUCGGGGAAGCCGGGACCGUAAGGCCUGGCGCGAUUGGAUGAGCCCAUGUCGGAUUAGCUAGUUGGCGGGGUAAAGGCCCACCAAGGCGACGAUCCGUAGCUGGUCUGAGAGGAUGAUCAGCCACACUGGAACUGAGACACGGUCCAGACUCCUACGGGAGGCAGCAGUAGGGAAUAUUGGACAAUGGGCGCAAGCCUGAUCCAGCCAUGCCGCGUGAGUGAAGAAGGCCCUCGGGUUGUAAAGCUCUUUUGUCCGGAAAGAAAAGCGCCGGGUUAGUACCCUGGUGUCCUGACGGUACCGGAAGAAUAAGCACCGGCUAACUUCGUG